AGGCACGACUCUUUCCAGAAAGUGAGUGCAUUUGUCCUGUGGGUCGGGUUGGCUUUGGUUGGCUUU
rnacentral:miRNA from 1 species